GGCUUAGAUAGUUUAAUUGAGAAUUUUAAUUUGUGGAAUUAAGGGUAAUAUAAAUAUUUUUGAGCU
rnacentral:tRNA from 1 species